AAGUAACAAAAAUUGACGCGUGACUUCGCUCAUCCCUUUCGUCGCAGACUGACCACAUUCUUAUGACCACCCUUGCUUACCGCAGAGACAUCGAUGGCCUGCGUGCCAUCGCUGUCCUUGCAGUCGUGUUGUUCCACUUUGGUGUCCCUGGCAUUACUGGCGGU
rnacentral:misc_RNA from 1 species